rnacentral:sRNA from 1 species
GGGGAUCCCGGGGGCCAGUCGCGGCCGGGACAUCGGGCGCUGCGGCCGGGGACCCGCUGCUGAGAUAGACAGAAUAUGGCAGAGCUUUCUGAGCCAGAGGGACCAGUAGAUUGGAAGGAACGAUGUGUAGCUCUGGAGUCCCAGCUCAUGAAAUUUAGAGUUCAAGCAAGCAAGAUACGAGAGCUCUUAGCAGAGAAGGACUGCUUGAGGGUUCUCACAACAUGGUGGCUGGUUUCCCCCCGAGCAAGUCAUCCAAGAGAAUGCAAGGUGGAAGAUGCAGUGCGUUUUAUGACCUACUCUCAGAAGUCAUACUUCAUCAUUUCCACAAUAUCCUGUUGGUUGCAAAGGUCAGCCCUAUGUUGUGAAGGAAGCAACUACACAUGGGUGUGAUUACCAGAAGAUGCAACAGCUUGAGAGACAAGUUAUUGAUGCUGAACGUCAAGCAGAAAAAGCUUUUCAACAGGUACAAGUUAUGGAAGAUAAAUUAAAAGCAGCUAAUAUUCAAACCAGUGAAUCAGAGACAAGAUUAUAUAAUAAGUGUCAAGAUCUGGAGUCGCUAAUACAGGAAAAAGAUGACAUCAUUCAAAACUUGGAAUUGCAACUUGAAGAGCAGAAACAAAUAAGAAUACAAGAAGCUAAAAUAAUAGAAGAGAAAGCAGCUAAGAUCAAAGAAUGGGUAACAGUUAAGUUAAAUGAGCUGGAAUUGGAGAAUCAGAAUCUUCGUUUGAUCAACCAAAACCAAACUGAAGAGAUAAGAACAAUGCAGUCAAAACUACAAGAAGUUCAAGGAAAGAAGUCAUCCACUGUCUCUACACUAAAGCUUUCGGAAGGCCAGCGCCUGAGCAGUUUGACCUUUGGGUGCUUUUUAUCUCGAGCAAGGAGUCCUCCUCAAGUAGUAAAAUCUGAGGAAAUGAGCAAGAUAUCGUCAAAAGAACCUGAGUUCACUGAAGGAAAAGACGUAGAAGAAAUGGAAAUUCCAGAAAAGUCUGUUGAUAACCAAGUUCUAGAAAACAACAGAGGCCAGAGAACAUUGCAUCAAACCCCUUGUGGCUCAGAACAGAAUCGGAAAACAAGAACAAGCUUUGCCACAGAUGGUGGCAUCUCCCAGAAUUCUGGGGCUCCAGUGAGUGACUGGAGCUCUGAUGAGGAAGAUGGGAGCAAAGGAAGAUCCAAGUCCAGAUGCACAUCCACGCUCUCCAGUCACACAUCUGAGGAAGGGGUCCAGUGUAGCAGGAUGGGGAGCGAAAUGUAUCUGACAGCAUCUGAUGACAGCAGCUCUAUAUUUGAGGAAGAGACUUUUGGCAUAAAGAGACCAGAACACAAGAAGCUAUAUUCUUGGCAGCAGGAGGCACAGUGGAAAGCUCUAAAUAGUCCUCUCGGAAAGGGAAAUUCUGAAUUAAGUAAAAAGGAGCAAGAUAGUUCCUCGGAUGAACUGAAUAAAAAAUUUCAAUCUCAGAGACUCGAUUAUUCAUCUUCAUCGAGUGAAGCCAACACCCCAAGCCCUAUUUUGACCCCAGCUUUAAUGCCAAAGCAUCCUAACUCACUCUCUGGAAAAGGAACACAAUUAGUGCCUUCAUCACACCUGCCACCCCCAAAGUUAAGGAUUCCUAAUGUUUUCAGUAUAAGUGUAGCACUAGCCAAAAGGCACUUAAGCCAGCCACAGUUAAGCUCCGACAGGAUGUUUGGUACAAAUAGAAAUGCUAUAAGCAUGAUACGACCACUGAGACCUCAGGAAACUGAUCUUGAUCUAGUUGAUGGUGACAGUACAGAGGUUUUAGAGAAUAUGGACACGAGUUGUGAUGAUGGAUUAUUUUCCUAUGACUCCUUGGACUCUCCAAAUUCAGAUGACCAGGAAAACUGUGACUCAGCAAAGAAGGUGGCAUGCAGCAAACCUCCAACUCCUCCCCUGCACCGUUUUCCUUCUUGGGAAAGCAGAAUUUAUGCUGUAGCCAAAUCAGGUAUGCGAAUGUCUGAGGCCUUCAAUAUGGAAAAUGUUAAUAAAAAUUCUGUUGCACCCGUUUCCUAUACCGCAUCAGGACUUUAUACAUCUCUGAUAUAUAAGAACAUGACCACCCCAGUGUAUACAACUUUGAAGGGGAAGGCGACCCAAAUAAGUAGCAGCCCUUUCCUGGAUGACUCAUCUGGGUCAGAGGAAGAAGACAGCUCCAGAUCCAGCUCCCGGACGUCAGAGUCAGACUCACGCAGUAGGAGUGGGCCAGGCAGCCCCAGAGCCAGGAAACGAGGUGUGUCUCUCUCCUCUGUGGCUUCUGAAAGUGAUUAUGCUAUUCCUCCUGAUGCUUACUCCACAGACACGGAGGACUCACAGCCAGAGCAGAAGCUCCCAAAAACUUGCUCAUCUUCCAGUGAUAAUGGGAAAAAUGAACCACUGGAAAAAUCUGGUUAUUUAUUAAAAAUGAGUGGUAAAGUCAAGUCUUGGAAGCGGCGGUGGUUUGUUCUUAAAGGUGGUGAAUUACUUUACUAUAAAUCUCCGAGUGAUGUAAUUAGAAAACCCCAGGGCCAUAUUGAACUUAGUGCAUCCUGUAGUAUUUUAAGAGGAGAUAACAAACAAACAGUUCAGGUACUUAACUUUUUUUUUUUUUUAUAUCAUGCCAAACUCAAUUCUCAAUUAUCCAACCUAAUGGAAAGGAGAUUGGAUAAUUCAAUGUUUCUUUAUUCACUUUGGGGUAAGUUUGAUGCCUUGAAAAUAUGUGAAACUCCAAGAAUUUUUGGUUAAAACUAUAAUGUAAGUUAGGUUUGUGUUGAGUAACUCCCACCACACUUUACCUUUCUUCCUUUAUACUCUUCUUUCCUCAUAUUUAAUCUCCUAGGUAUUUUCAGCUGUCCAACUGUGAAGCUAUUUUAAGGAAGGGUUAUCUGGUAAAUGAAUCCUCAAUAAGAUUUUAGUUAUAUAAUGUACUAUGAAAUUCAGGAAUGUUUGUAUUUUAAUAUAGAAUCUGAAAAUGACAGUUCUUAUAUGAACUUCAGAUGCCAUAACACCGAAGUGGGAAAUAUAUUAGUGAGCAGAGGGACUGUGCUGCCAAGCAAGUCACACUGUAGGGGCAGCUGCUGCCCAUUUUACUCACACAUAAGGCCAGUCUUGCCAGAAAUCUGUUAAAUUUAAAACACAGGCUGUUGAGAUAUUCUAGUAUAUGUAAUUUAAAUUCAGACACUUUAUUUCUGAAAUGUCUUCAAUAACCAUUAUUGUCUUAUAUUGCUCCUUUGGAGGGUGGAAGACAACUUUGCCAGAAAGGUACAUUAUCAAUGUUUCCAGUGAAUUGUACCUGAAAACCCCUCAAAAAUUUAGAAAGGAGAAUCAAGGAAAGCUUUGUCUUUGGGCAUGGCAGUUAAGAAUCAUUUGUAAGCUUCUGAAAUAUCUGGAAAAUUUGCAAUGUGGCUAAUUUGAGACUGGAAAAUUCUGAGUUCAUAAUAUCUAAUCACGUUCAUUCCAAGAAUUUCUCUUCUUAUAUGCAAGAUCUUCUUAUUUUAUUUAUAGUUGAUUUUUUCAUUUGUAUUAAGAAACCUCUUCUUUAGUUGCUAAAAAUGUGCUAUUUUAUUAUAGUCUUUAAUCAUUCUGCUCCUCAUUUCAAUAAGUAGGAACCUGGCCGGGCGCGGUGGCUCACGCCUGUAAUCUCAGCACUUCAGGAGGCUGAGGCAGGCGGAUCACGAGGUCAGGAGAUCAAGACCAUCCUGGCUAACACGGUGAAACCCCGUCUCUACUAAAAAUUCAAAAAAAUUAUCCAGGCAUGGUGGCAAAAGUCGCCUGUAAGUCCCAGCUACUCGGGAGGCCGAGGCAGGAGAAUGGUGUGAACCCGGGAGGCGGAGCUUGCAGAGAGCCGAGAUCGGGCCACUGCACUCCAGCCUGGGCGACAGAGAGAGACUGCGUCUCAGAAAAAAAAAAAAAAAAGAAAAAAAAUGUAGGAACCUGUAGCACAUUUAAACGAGAAAGGGAAAAUGUGACAAAUAAACAAGAUAUAAAAUCAUAACCCCAAAAUUAGGUAAACUGGAGUAACAAAAUUAUUUCCACAAAAAUUUAAUUGCUGUAAUUCUCACAAAGUGGUUAAAAUAUUCUAAAUGAUAUGGAGUCAUUUAUUUAGAAACUGGGACUUGAGGUUUAGCAUGUUUGCUUCCGUGUUAAGUAAUGACGUUUGAAUAAUGAACAAGGAAAUGCUAAGAAUCCUAAAUCUUCACAGUUUUCUUUCGUAUACUUUUCUUGUUGCAUUCUAGUUGACCACUGAAAAACACACAUACUAUCUGACUGCAGAUUCUCCCAAUAUAUUGGAAGAGUGGAUUAAAGUGUUACAGAAUGUUCUUCGAGUACAAGCUGCCAACCCACUUUCCCUGCAGCCUGAGGGCAAACCCACCGUGAAGGGAUUGCUCACUAAGGUAAAACAUGGAUACUCCAAGAGAGUCUGGUGCACACUAAUAGGAAAGACAUUAUAUUAUUUUCGGAGUCAAGAAGAUAAGUUUCCUUUAGGUCAGAUCAAACUUUGGGAGGCUAAAGUGGAAGAGGUUGACAGAUCUUGUGAUUCAGAUGAAGAUUAUGAAGCCAGUGGACGUAGUCUGUUAUCCACACAUUAUACUAUCGUUAUCCAUCCCAAAGACCAAGGUCCGACUUACCUCCUAAUUGGAUCCAAGCAUGAAAAGGACACUUGGCUUUAUCAUCUGACUGUUGCAGCUGGAAGCAACAAUGUAAACGUUGGAUCUGAAUUUGAACAACUGGUUUGCAAAUUGCUAAAUAUAGAUGGGGAGCCUUCCUCUCAGGUAUGGAGACACCCCACUUUGUGUCACAGCAAGGAAGGAAUCAUUUCCCCUCUGACAACUCUACCUUCCGAAGCCCUGCAGACAGAAGCUAUUAAAUUAUUUAAGACCUGCCAGCUUUUUAUAAAUGCUGCAGUUGACUCUCCUGCAAUUGAUUACCACAUAUCUCUAGCCCAGAGUGCUUUGCAAAUCUGCCUGACACAUCCUGAGCUGCAGAAUGAAAUUUGCUGUCAGCUUAUUAAACAGACAAGACGAAGACAGCCACAGAAUCAACCAGGACCAUUGCAGGGCUGGCAGCUCUUGGCACUCUGCGUUGGGCUCUUCCUUCCCCAUCAUCCUUUCCUGUGGCUCCUCAGGCUUCACCUAAAGAGGAAUGCAGAUUCCAGGUGUGCAGAAUACUAGCCAGCUGAACUGUUUAUGUGGUCUCUGAAAGUCUACGAUAAAUCAUAAGUAUUUAAUGAUCUGCCAGGACAGAAUUUGGAAAAUAUGCCAUUUACUGCCAGCGUUGUGUAGAAAGAACGCAACAAAAUGGUGACAGAGAAGCAAGACCCUCAAGGAUGGAAAUUCUUUCAACUCUUCUCCGAAACCCUUAUCACCAUUCUUUGCCCUUUAGUAUACCUGUGCACUUCAUGAAUGGGAUAUACCAGGUAGUUGGUUUUGAUGCAUCUACCACAGUGGAAGAAUUUUUGAAUACUUUGAACCAGGACACAGGAAUGAGGAAACCAGCGCAGUCUGGAUUUGCGUUGUUCACUGAUGAUCCCUCUGGCAGAGAUUUAGAGCAUUGUCUUCAAGGAAACAUCAAGAUUUGUGACAUUAUUUCCAAAUGGGAACAGGCUUCCAAAGAACAGCAGCCUGGAAAAUGUGAAGGUACAAGGACUGUUCGUCUGACAUACAAAAACAGACUGUAUUUCUCAGUGCAAGCUUGUGGAGAGACUGAUAGAGAAAAGUUGCUGUUAAUGUAUCAGACAAAUGAUCAAAUCAUAAAUGGACUUUUUCCUCUGAACAAGGAUCUGGCAUUAGAAAUGGCAGCUCUUUUAGCUCAGGUAGAGAUCGGAGAUUUUGAAAGACCUUUCUCAACUCCAGCAGGGCAUGUUACCAAUCAGUGCAAAGCGAAUCAAACUCUAAAGCAAGUCAUAGAGAAAUUUUAUCCUAAAAGGUAUAGAGAUGGCUGUUCUGAAGAGCAGUUAAGGCAGCUUUGCCAGCGACUCUCAACCAGAUGGAUGGCCCUCCGGGGACACAGUGCUGCUGACUGUGUACGCAUUUAUUUGACAGUAGCCAGGAAGUGGCCAUUCUUUGGUGCCAAGUUGUUUCUUGCAAAACCCAUAACUCCAUCAUCACUUGGAAGUACUUUCAUGUGGCUGGCUGUACAUGAGGAUGGUUUAAGCCUCUUAGAAUACAACUCCAUGAGGUUAAUAGUCAGCUAUGUGUACAAGAGUCUAAUGACCUUUGGAGGCUAUCAAGAUGAUUUUAUGGUAGUCAUUAACAAUACACAUUCAAAGGACAAACCAACAGAGAAAUUACUUUUUGCCAUGGCAAAACCCAAGAUUCUUGAAAUCACUCUUUUGAUCGCCAGUUACAUAAACAACUUCCAUCAGCAAAAGGCAGCAUUUCACCACCUCUCUGCUCCAGCACUGCUCUCAGCCCAGACCCGGGGACCCCAAGCCAGAAUGAUGGGAAGCCAGCCUCUUCUGUCAAGCAGCAGACCGACCAAAGGCCCCACCUUACUCUGAAAGCUGGGGAGCCUGAACAUUCACUCCUUGUCCUCCAUCUCCGUGCCAUGGCUGCAUCAGCUCCUACAAGUUCGUUUAUACCUGGCAGCACGGCAGCCACACACCGGUAUUCCAAACUUUAACAAUGAAGGGAGUUAGGCUCUUUUAUUUGAUUCUUAAAUAUUCAAAUAAAUAUUAACAGUAAAACAUAAACACAAAA